GUGGGGAAUAUUUGACAAUGGGCGAAAGCCUGAUCCAGCCAUGCCGCGUGUGUGAAGAAGGUCUUCGGAUUGUAAAGCACUUUAAGUUGGGAGGAAGGGUAGUAACCUAAUACGUUGCUACUUUGACGUUACCGACAGAAUAAGCACCGGCUAACUUCGUGCCAGCAGCCGCGGUAAUACGAAGGGUGCAAGCGUUAAUCGGAAUUACUGGGCGUAAAGCGCGCGUAGGUGGUUCAGUAAGUUGGAAGUGAAAUCCCCGGGCUCAACCUGGGAACUGCUUUCAAAACUGCUGAGCUAGAGUACGGUAGAGGGUGGUGGAAUUUCCUGUGUAGCGGUGAAAUGCGUAGAUAUAGGAAGGAACACCAGUGGCGAAGGCGACCACCUGGACUGAUACUGACACUGAGGUGCGAAAGCGUGGGGAGCAAACAGGAUUAGAAACCCGGGUAGUCC
rnacentral:rRNA from 1 species